GGUCGCGUGGCCCAGUGGUUAAGGCACUUGCUUUACAAUAUUCCGUCGGAUUUCGAGUGGAUGAGCAUCGCAAGGGAUCGCAGGUUCGAGCCCUGCCGCGAUCA